AACGAACGUUGGCGGCGUGGCUUAGGCAUGCAAGUCGUACGAGUUUCAUCUGUGUAUCUGGUUGCAAAAAGUGGCGAAAGGGGCAGUAAGGCAUGGAUAAUCUACCCUGAUGACCGGGAUAGCUGUCCCAACGGGCAGGUAAUACCGGAUGAGCUGGCGGGGCCGCAUGGUUCUGCCAGGAAAGGCGCAAGCCGUGGCGGGAGGAAUCCAUGUGAUAUUAGCUAGUUGGUGAGGUAAAGGCUCACCAAGACGAAGAUGUCUAGCGGGUGUGAGAGCACGAGCCCGGCCACUGGCAUAGAGACACUGGCCAGAUUCCUGCGGGGGGCUGGAGACGAGGAACUCUGGCAAUGGGGGAAGACCUGGUCAAGCAACGCCUCGUGAGCGAUGAAGGCCGUUAGGUGGUAAAGAGCUGUAGAGGGGGAACAAGCCACAAGGUGGAGUGAUCCCUGGAGAAAGCACGGGCUAAGUUCGUG
rnacentral:rRNA from 1 species